AACGAACGCUGGCGGCAUGCCUAACACAUGCAAGUCGAACGAGAUCUUCGGAUCUAGUGGCGCACGGGUGCGUAACGCGUGGGAAUCUGCCCUUUGCUUCGGAAUAACAGUUAGAAAUGACUGCUAAUACCGGAUGAUGUCUUCGGACCAAAGAUUUAUCGGCAAAGGAUGAGCCCGCGUAGGAUUAGGUAGUUGGUGGGGUAAAGGCCUACCAAGCCGACGAUCCUUAGCUGGUCUGAGAGGAUGAUCAGCCACACUGGGACUGAGACACGGCCCAGACUCCUACGGGAGGCAGCAGUGGGGAAUAUUGGACAAUGGGCGAAAGCCUGAUCCAGCAAUGCCGCGUGAGUGAUGAAGGCCUUAGGGUUGUAAAGCUCUUUACCCGGGAUGAUAAUGACAGUACCGGAGAAUAAGCUCCGGCUAACUCCGUGCCAGCAGCCGCGGUAA
rnacentral:rRNA from 1 species